GUCUCCGAAACAUCUGAUAAAAUCAGAAUGAUACGGAGAAGAUUAGCAUGCCACUGCGCAAGGUUGACACGCACAAAUUGAGAAAUGGUCCAACCUUUU